GAAGAGUAGUUCAAAGAGCUGC
rnacentral:snRNA from 1 species